AUUGAACGCUGGCGGCAUGCCUUACACAUGCAAGUCGAACGGCAGCGGGCCCUUCGGGGUGCCGGCGAGUGGCGAACGGGUGAGUAAUGCAUCGGAACGUACCCGGGAUAGGGGGAUAACCGGCCGAAAGGCUGGCUAAUACCGCAUGAACUCGGAAGAGCAAAGCGGGGGACCUUCGGGCCUCGCGCUCUCGGAGCGGCCGAUGUCCGAUUAGGCUAGUUGGUGGGGUAAAGGCCCACCAAGGCGACGAUCGGUAGCGGGUCGGAGAGGACGGUCCGCCACAUUGGGAUUGAGAACAGGCCCAGACUCCUCGGGGAGGAGCCAGUGGGGAAUCUUGGACAAUGGGGGCAAGCCUGAUCCAGCAAUGCCGCGUGGGUGAAGAAGGCUUUCGGUUUGUAAAGCCCUUUCGGCGGGGAAGAAAUCGGUCAGGCUAAUAGGCUGGCCGAAUGACGGUACCCGCAGAAGAAGCACCGGCUAACUACGUG
rnacentral:rRNA from 1 species